AAAACGAAACACCACUCGCAAACAAAUAUUAAACCUAACCAACAAAGGAUAAUGUGUGCUAUGUAGAACUAUCGCUGUCAGUGUCAUGUGGCGUCAUUGUGCGUCCAUUGCAUGAACUUUGGCAAGAUUUAAUACAGUAAAUAACUACAAGACUCGAGGACGUACCAAGAAAUAAGGAAAAAACGAGCGAGAAUGUUUCAAACAUUAUAUAAAAUGUGUUUUGUUAAGUAUGCUUUUGAGUAGAGUAAUGCUUAAACUUAUUUUUAUUGAAAAGAUCUCGUCAAUCCAUGGAUGAUACUCUCAUAAAGAUAAAGAAAUAUAUAUUGCGUUAGUGGUCACUAUAUAUUUGAAAACAAACAAACUAUACGUUUGGAAAAUUCGAAAAUAAUGGAGUAGUAUAGUACAGUGUAAGGAUGAAAUUAACGAAAGUACAAUUCGAAUUCGAUGGGGUAGAUCGGUAGAUCGUUGUAUCGCGCCGUGCAAAGACGGCCCUGGCUUUGGCCACUCGGUAAGUAGUCGAAGCGAUAUUUUGGUCGAGCUGAGACAGUGGGAUGGGAUACGAUUGCCUUCUCGUAUUGCCGUGGCUCGAGGCACGGACUCUCGGAAGAAAAGAGGAAGAGAGACCGAGCAAAAUGAUUCGGGAGGCUCCGAGGUGUUGGAAAGGCACGAUGAAAGACAUAUGAGGAUUCCAGCGGCGAGAUAGGAUAUGCCUGCCGACUAUGUUACAGCGAAAAUCUUUUGAGGUCCACCUUACGCGCGUUGCUUCUCUUUUCCUUCAGGUUUUUCGCAGAGUUUGUGUAUGUUGAAUUUUGCCGAAAGCGUGGCCGUCGAAUGUAUCGUUUAUUAAUUUAAACAUUGUUACUCUAACUUAAUUAAAGGGCAUUCUUUGAUAUAAGUCAGUGGUUAUCAAACCACAUAAAGGGAGCCCCUUAAUUGUUUUGACUGAUGUCGAUUGAAUGUUCUAUUUAUUGAGCAUAGAGAAUGAUUUAAAUGACAUGGUUAUCGAAUUUUUUUAGAUGGAAAAGAUCCCCUUUUGGAUUGUAAAGCGCCGCCUCUGGGGAGUCGCCAUCUUUACUUUGGAGAAUACUAGUGCCAGUGAAGGAACAUGUAAAUGUAUAAAAAAUGUGAGGAACAAAGCAUUUAACGAAAUCAAAGAUAAUUUAAAUUGACGUCGAUAUUGAAUCGUUAAUAAUUUUUAUCAUUUGAACUUUAAACGAUCACAUGGGAUUGACGAGCGUUUUUUCGAACGUUGCAAAUAAAUGUAACAACGUGAAAUUUAUUCCAAGAUUCUCGAAGGUUUGCGUUACGCGGAGCACGUGUCAGUGUCAACCGACACCGAGAGCAAGAGGAGUCAAGAAAGACGUCCCAUCCCGUCCCGUCCCCUCUAUUUACGACAUAAGUCACCUGUCGCCGUGCAAUUAAGGAGGAUGAGUCGACAGGCGCUAACCCGUGGUCAUUUUGUUGUUGCUAAUAAGGCUGGAAAUACGAAUAACGACGAUGCUUGUUACUUGGUGAGGUUUCGUGACAAAUCGACGUUUAAAUAAAACGCAAGUCACACGAAGCGAAGAGGAGGAUGAUGACGACGAUGAUGACGGCGACGAAGAAGUUUAAGAAGUAGACAGAGAGGAAGGUUGCGGACGUAAAGUAUAAACAGUCGAGGUGCGAUUUGACGCGCACUCCGGCCAUCCAAGGCACAUCUCGCUCGUUGAACGUACGCUUUAAGAAUCCCGAAGAAGCGACCAGCCCCGAUGGCUGGAAUCUGUAAAUCUGUCAUUGCAGCCAUAUUCG